ACGGACUCCUACACAGAGAAUGUGUGUGAAAGACCUUGCUUUGGAAAGCCUCCUGUCUUUUAAGAACAGCAAAGAGACUUGUUGCCCUAAUCUCCAGAAAAGAAAAAAGUCAAAUAAAGUUCCUACAGGAGGCCAGCCCUACCUGUUGCAUCUAAAAAGGCACCCAAAGAUUCCUGUCAACAAAUCAAGUAAUCCUGAAGGCAAAGAAAGAAAGGCUGUGGAAAGGCCUGCUGGGAAGAGGAAA